rnacentral:rRNA from 1 species
ACGAACGCUGGCGGCGUGCUCAACACAUGCAAGUCGAACGGUGAAGCGCCUUCCUUUUUGGUGGGUGUGGAUGAGUGGCGAACGGGUGAGUAACACGUGAGUAACCUGCCCCCUUCUUCUGGAUAACCGCAUGAAAGUGUGGCUAAUACGGGAUAUUCUGGGUCUGUCGCAUGCUGGGUCUGGGAAAGAUAUUGUUUCGGUGGGGGAUGGGCUGCUGGCCUAUUAGCUUGUUGGUGGGGUGAUGGCCUACCAAGGAGGUGAUGGGUAGCCGGCCUGAGAGGAGGAUGGGCGACACCAGUAGGGCUAAGACGCGGACAAGACUACUGCAGGAAGCAGCGGGGAAGAAUGUAGCACGGGGGGCGGAAGGCUGAAGCAACGACGCGGGGUGGAGGAUGGCGGCCGUCGGGUUAUGAACCUCUUUCGCGAGUGAAGCGGGCCUGCCUCAUAUGUGGGUGGGUUGACGGUAGCUGAAUAAGAAGCACCGGCUAACUACGUG